UUUAAAAUAGAUUGUGCCUCGCUGCAGCGGCGCAUUUCGUGUCCGCAAUGCGCGAAGGCGAAGAUGGCGGGGGUACUUCGUAUUCCAUGUCAAAUGUUUCGUUGCAUUCGGGUGUUCCAAACUAAAAUGAAAUGGACACCAGCAACGCUAAAAUUUCCUCUAUGAGCCCCCGUCCCAAGCUCUACCCUCACGACUCUACACUGUAAACCUGACAAUACUCAUUAAAGAGUAAAAAUCACCCCUUUUUUGGCAAGGUAUGAACCUGUCAAAAUAAUGGGUAAUUUAUUUUUUCAUAUAAUGCGCAUUUUAUGCCCAUUUAUAAGCUCAGAGUUUUUACUCAUUAAUGAGUGAAAAACAAGUUGAACUUUUGAACAAAAUUUAAUGAUUGUUGCUCCUGUCGUAGUCGGCAGUCGGUGUCGAAAAACAAAGCAAAAUAAGGUUGCUCUCGGUACUGCGCAUGUGGCGGGGCGGAUAAACGCUCGAUCGUGGCAUGGAUCGAACGGAAUUUACAAAUAAAAGCUUAGGGAGCUCCAAACUACCGGGCCUGCAACAAAGAUUUUGCAAAAUGGUUCGAGGAACAUCCGAUGAACGCGUACUGGAUGGAUAUUCAUGCGUCAAAAAGGAUCGAGACAUUCGAGACUCUGUCGACUCCAGCAAUCGACGAUGUGAAAUUGGCAAAUCCUCCCUUUUAUGAGAUUCAACGGAUGGGGACCGUCUGUCUUUCCUAUUACGCCAACUAGGAACGUAGUUAGAGAUGGUUGUCGCAGAUUUGGAACGCCGACGAUCAUGGAAUUAGUUUUAGACACAGUCGCUGUUGAUAUUCCCUCUAGUGUACCUGCUGAGCCAGAUGUGAACCGAUAAGAAAGAUAAGCGAACAAAACAGGUUUAGUUUUUACUAUAAAAGAAAAUCGCUUGUCAAUUAUUUGUUUUGACAUACUACAAAAUAAAGAACAAUAUUCUAUUUAUUCAUUAUUUCAUGAAUUCCUCGCAA